GCCCCUGUAGUUCAACGAAUAGAAUAGCUGAUUCCGGUUCAGCCGAUAAGGGUUUGAUUCCCUUCGGGGGUA
rnacentral:tRNA from 1 species